rnacentral:sRNA from 3 species
UUGCUAUCUGCGAUAUGGAAGACCCGAACCUGCCGCAGGUUCGGGUCUCACGUAGUGAGACAACGGAGCCGCUUGCGGCGACGGCCCGAAGGGCGAGCGAAGCGAGUCAUCCUGCACGACCCACCA